rnacentral:rRNA from 1 species
GACGAACGCUGGCGGCGUGCUUAACACAUGCAAGUCGAACGGAAAGACCCUGCUUUUGUGGGGUGCUCGAGUGGCGAACGGGUGAGUAACACGUGAGUAACCUGCCCUUGACUUUGGGAUAACGUCAGGAAACUGGGGCUAAUACCGGAUAGGAGCUCCUGCUGCAUGGUGGGGGUUGGAAAGUUUCGGCGGUUGGGGAUGGACUCGCGGCUUAUCAGCUUGUUGGUGGGGUAGUGGCUUACCAAGGCUUUGACGGGUAGCCGGCCUGAGAGGGUGACCGGCCACAUUGGGACUGAGAUACGGCCCAGACUCCUACGGGAGGCAGCAGUGGGGAAUAUUGCACAAUGGGCGGAAGCCUGAUGCAGCAACGCCGCGUGCGGGAUGACGGCCUUCGGGUUGUAAACCGCUUUCGCCUGUGACGAAGCGUGAGUGACGGUAAUGGGUAAAGAAGCACCGGCUAACUACGUG